rnacentral:rRNA from 1 species
GGGGGGGGGGGGGGGGGGGCUGGGCGCGGGCAGGGCGGGGGGGGUUGAGUAGACAGAAGCCUCGGCUAAAGAUUACUAAUGAGAGUGGCGAACGGGUGAGUAACGCGUGAGCAACCUGCCUAUGACAGUGGGAUAGCCUCGGGAAACCGGGAUUAAUACCGCAUAAAAUCGUAGAAACACAUGUUUUAACGGUCAAAGAUUUAUCGGUCAUAGAUGGGCUCGCGUCUGAUUAGCUAGUUGGUGAGAUAACAGCCCACCAAGGCGACGAUCAGUAGCCGGUCUGUGAGGAUGAACGGCCACAUUGGAACUGAGACACCGUCCCAACUCCUACCGGAGGCAGCAGUGGGGGAUAUUGCACAAUGGGGGAAACCCUGAUGCAGCGACGCCGCGUGAACGAAGAAGGUAUUCGUAUCGUAAAGUUCUGUCCUAUGGGAAGAUAAUGACAGUACCAUAGAAGAAAGCUCCGGCUAAAUACGUG